rnacentral:lncRNA from 1 species
UUGACUUCCCUUUCUUUCCUUUCAUUCCCUGGAGGAUUUGGUGUAUUGGGAUCAGGGUGAAUAUUAGAAAUUAUAUUACCAAUGAACUCCUUAUAUCUGAAUGAUUUGCCCUCACAUUUGAGGACUGGUGAUUUUGUCCAAUCUCUUCUUUUAACAGAUAAAACAAACAAAACAAAACAAAAAAAUCCCUAAUGUCUAAAGAGAUAAAAUACAAAGAAUGGAGAAGGUUGAUGGUAGAUCAUUGUGAAAACCCCUAACAGUGGAGUAGGUUGUCUCAGAAGACUUCAUGGAAAAGGAAACAAGUUGGACCUUUAAAGUGGAACAGAGUAUUUUGAAGUACCUGCUACUUAAGGAAGAUUUUUGGUGAAGGAUGAAUACUAAAAACUGAAGGAGAGUAUAAAAGGGCUUAUUAUAGCCCAUGAAAAAAGAUUUUGGAGACCAGAUAAAGAUGGUAGUUUUGGAUCAAGAUGUUCUAACAAUAUCGUGAUGGGCGUCAACACCUGGAUUAAUGAUCACAAGGGAAAGAUUCCCCUGUGGCUACACGGAUUCAAAUUGUGAUGUUUUGUGAGUGGAUUGCGUGAAAUUAUGUGAAGUGAGUUUUUACCCACCCUUAAUCUGCCAACAUUAGGACCAGACUAGAGGUUCAGGACUAGACAUGAGGAAAUACAGUGAAUGAUCCAGAAUGUGGGAAUUUUGAACAUUGUGGGUAUACGUUGAACUGUCUUUCCACCACCUAAAGGAUUCAGGUAAGAGGAACACUAAUUUCAAUGCUGUAUGCCUGUAAGUGCUUCCAAACUUUUAUGAACCUCAAUGUUUUUUUUGUCUAAUAUCAAAAGUUCACAGGGUUUCAAAAUCUGGGCUGGACUUUUUUUACUGCGGGUUUUGAAAUUUUAAAGCUGUAGGCAUGUCAAUGAUUUGAUUACAAAGCUGAGGCAGACAUGUUGUAUUACUAUUACAAAAUUAUUUUUCCCAAUAUUAACUUGGGAAUGCUUCCAUCACAAAGCAGAGUACUGGUGUAAGAGUUGGAGUGUCUUGGUUCAAGUCCUUGUCCUGACGCUGAAGGCGUGACCGUGGGCUGUGCAGAGCAGAGAACAGACCAAGACCCCACUCCUACAGCAGGGAGGAAGGAGAGCAGCCGCCAGCCACUACCUGGAGCAGCACUGGGGGUGUUCUCUCUAAAAUUUACUCCCAACUAACUUAGCCCAGAUGGGAUCUUGGGAAAUUGAGAGGUAAUGGCCACAGGAGAUUCAGCCAUCAACACAUGCUGUCUGCUCCGCCUGCUGCCCACUUUCUCUGCUAAAUGAUUGUUAAAUGCCGUAAAGGUGGCCAGCUGUGCCCUGUUCUGUGGAUGAGAAUACUGAGCUAGAAAGACCAUUUUAAGGAACAUCCACUUGAAAGAUUUCUCCAGAAUGCCAACAACAGGAGAGCUCAUGGAUCUCUGGUAUGUCACCUAAGCCAAAGCAAAAAGAAGAAAAUGGAGGUUCUGUGGUCCCCUGUAUCCAAGAGAGAGAUUUCACACACAUGUAGGGCACACAUGCACACACAUACACACACAAGCA